AUCUUCAAGAACUGCUUUUGGAUCAAGUAUUCGCUUCUCCUUGCUUCUUUCUCGCGUUAUUCCUCUUGAGUUUUGUUACCUUUCGGCUGGAAAUGGACCACUUGCCGCUGGUGUGGCAGUGGUUGGAGCAUGACCAUGUUGAUGAUGAGCUGUCACUGGCCCAUUCCAAGAGGUUUUCUGGAUAGAAAUUCCUUUUCAGGGAGAUUAGAGGGACGGAACCUUUUGACGUAUUCUUUAUGACAGGAGGGUUUCAUGCCUAUAAUCCCAGCACUUGGAAGACGGAGAUAAAAGGGUCGCCGUGAGUUUGAGGACAGCCUGCACUACAGAAAACUACUUCCCCAGAACGGAGGUGUGUGAAAUGUCUUUGUCCCCCUAGGAAGUGUGGGAGUCACCACUGAGCCUUGUCAGGCCAGGUGGGAAGCUGAGACCGAUGAAGUGGUCCUGCAGCGGUGGCAGAAGCAGAUAGAUUAUGGCAAGUGCAUACCUGGGUACCAGAGCUUUCUGCAGCAGGUCCCCAGGUGAGUGCAGUUGUAGGCAGCCACAAGGAUGCCAACCAAAUGGCUGUAGCUCAUUGUCAGGUGCUGGAAGAUAACUGGAAAGUGGAUGCAGAUGGACUGGUUCUCCUGCCGUCUAGUCCCCAAUACGUUUGAGAUUUCUCUCAAGUAGAAGCGUACUUUCCCAGAAGGCUUUCAAGGCUUGCCAUGUUCCGCCCCCUCCCCCCCCCCCCCCCCGCCCGCCCCUUCUUUUUAAUCAUUUAAUGUGUGUGUUGGGUGAGGGCAGAUGUGCUUGUGGAAGUCAGAGGGAUCUUUACUUCCAGGACAGGCUCUUCUGGGGAUCAAACUUGCUCAUCUGGCCCUCCUAUCCUACCUAGUGGUUUUUAACCUCCUAAACCAUCUUGCUGUCCCCCACAUUCCUUUUCUUAUUAAUUUUCUUUGUUACUGUACAAAGGAAUGGUUUCAUUGGGAUGACUUCAUUAUAUGAAAGUAUUUCACUAUUAUUUGUUCAUUUAACUUUUUAAAGCUUUUAUUGUGCGUUUAUGUUUUCCCUGCAUGUAUGUCUAUACACCACAUGAAUGCUGUGGAGGCCAGAAGAGGAUAUCAGAUUCCCUGGGACUGGAACUGCAGAAAGUUGUGAGCUAUCAUGUGGGUGCUGGGAAUCAAAUCCAGGUCCUCUGAGCUGUCUCAGCCCCCCUCUUCUAUUUUCCAUAUGUUCCAAUAUUCUCUUAUUCUCUCCUCUCUGCUCCCUUCAGACCUCUUACCUCAUGUCUCUCUCUCUCUCUCUCUCUCUCUCUCUCUCUUCUCUCUCUCUCUCUCCCCCCUCUCUCUCUCUCUCUCACACACAAACAAACAAAAUGUAUCAAAAGUUGGAUAUCAUCUUUACUCAAGGGCCAGUGUAAGUUUCUGUAUCAUUACAAUUCCCCUCAAAGUGAGCAUUACAAGUGAACAUUAUUCCCCACCCUUUCCCUCCCUCUCCCUCCGUGUCUCUCAGACAGUCUCAUGUAGCCUCAGCUGGCCUCAAUCUCUCUAUGUAGUUAAGAAUGACAUUGAACUUGCCUCCACCUCUGAGGGCUAACAUUUCAGGAUGUGCCACCAGGCCUGGCUUCACUGAAUUCGCUGGAUUGGAGCAUCAUCCUGUCCUUGGGUAAUCCUGUCUAGGCUUCUGAUUUACUGUGAUAAGCAAUGAGCAGUGUCCCUUUCCUUUGACUUCAAUCUGACCCAUAUUUGUCAUUGUCAGGGCACAGCGACAGCCGGGUUUUCACCCUCAAACACCAAACAAAAACAGGAGAUACAGUCGCAGAUCCUGAGAUGCCCAAAUCAGGCAAUGGAGAAGAGCCCUGCAUACCUGGGACCCCCCAAGCCAGCCUCUCCAUGACAGACAGGCUGAGGGGUGUGUUCACUAAUCUGGCUCCUAUGAGUGGUGUGGUUUAAGUCCUACUUUGUCCACUGCAAAGAUUUGGGUUGUAUAAUUGUGGGGGGGGGCGGUAUCUGCAUGAGUGUAUGUUCUCUCAUUCUGCUGCCCCUCUAGGAAAGCAACAAAGAACUUCCUAAGGACAUUGGGUUCUACUCCUUUAGAUGAUCUCCUGGUAGCUGGCCCCAGGGCUCAGAAUCCUCAGAGAAUUGGGACAGAGGUGAGAAAGAGGCCCAGGUAGUAUCCUCUGCUGAAACCACUGGCUCAGGAAAAUAGAUGGGGUUUGACCUGUGAGAGCAUAAAUAAGGUAUAGUCCAAAGGAGACGGGGCUAGAGCUAUACGGCCUCCAUGGGUCUGAUCUCUCUUCACCAGAGAUGAAGGAAUUGGGCAUGGUGGUGCAAAAUCCUGUGGGCUCUGGGAAGGUGAAAGUAAGAGGAACAGGAGUUUUAUUUAUGUUAAGUAACAUAAAUAAAGCUGAUUUUUAUAAAAC
ensembl:lincRNA 2010110K18Rik RIKEN cDNA 2010110K18 gene